rnacentral:lncRNA from 1 species
UUCGUCUUGAACGAAAGAUGUUUUCCAGAACCUUCUUUAUCAUAAUAACCCCGGAACAGAAAUCUGACGUCCGUCUUUAGGCUUCCAAAUUAAUUUUCCAAAUCAACAAAAUUUGUCAAUUUCAUAACAAACACCCGGAUCCACACACGUUUCGAAAAGAAAAGCAGGAAUAGAAUUUUCCGAACCCCCUGGAUAAUCAUGUCCUGCUGCCAUCAACCGGGAUCAGGUUGUCCCGCGAGACCGAGUCCUCCCGAAGGUUGCAGAUUCAGUUCUCCGUCAGUUCCGAACAAUUGUCCCGAAAAUUCGGCGAGAAGGGUCUGCAUCGUUCCCCCGAUAGACCAAAAACCUCAUCACAAACCUUGCUGCGUUAGAGCGUACGGGUCUCCCUGCGAAGUCCACCGCCAACCCCAUCGAACGAUCAGAUUCACCGACGCCGAUAUCGCCAUGCAAUAUUGAACAACGAACGAACAUGAUGGGGCGAAACGAUGCGAUUAAUCUGUCGCUGCUGCGAAUCAUUGAAUUCAUUCUGAAAAUGUUCGCCAUAUUCGCCGGGAACGAAAUACUCGUCAACUUCAGCGUCGUCUGACGAAGGAUUUGUACGUUGCAUACUUUUUUAACGAUUUCAAGAAAGAUAAAUUUUUUUUUCGAUCUCUGUUUUAUCGAACGAUUUUCAUUAUUAUCAUAUUAUCAUCACCGUUAAGCAACGAGGCGAAACCCCCCGCAAAGAUUACGUAUGUACGUAAUACAUGAGGUAUGAGUAAAUGACCGAGCCUAAUUACAUAUAUAUUUGUAUAUCGAAAUAAUACAACAUAUUGACAAAAACA